UACAAUUUCAAAAUUUGUUGUCUUCAGACUUUUUAAAAUAUUUCCAGACUGGUGAGAUUUUACUUUUCUUUUUAUGUGUUUGCCUCUCGAUCGCCAAAUCUUUUUCCGAGUCCGUGCUGCAGCAAUCGCAUGGCUGCCUUUCAGCGCUCGACACACUGAGCGUGAGGAGCUCCGACGUUUACCUUAAAUUCACCACAAAGUCAAAACUACUUAAACCUACUUUAAAAACAAAACAAAUAAACGCGAAAUUUUGUUUUUUGGUGAUGUGAAAUCCAUACUUUUAAUGCUAUGCGGUAGAGCUGCAAAAACAUCGAGCCACUAUCGAUAGUAUCGAUGGCGACUUGACUGAUUCGACUAUCGAGGUUUUUUUCCCCGAUAGUUCGAUAGUGGUAAACAUAUUUACCAUAUCUUGCUGCACAGUAAAAAGAGCGUUGUUGGAGUUGAUGGUGACGGGAUGAACAAGUUUUUAGCAGGUUUAAGCAAAGAGG